GGGAAUGUAGUUCAGUUGGUAGAAUGCUUGCCUAGCUUGCAUGAUAUCCUGGGUUCAAACCCAGCACCA
rnacentral:tRNA from 1 species